GGAUUAUGCAUUUUGAAGCUGGGCAACUCACAAAAAAAUCACUCGUUGGCGUAAUUGAUUGAAAGUUUAAGAAGAAUGUAUAAAAACUGUGUGCCUAUAUUUUGUCUGCAUUUAACAGUUGUGUGGAACAUAACUCUGCCGCCAUGUUUGGUAGGGAAAAGAUUUAAUGAAAAAAGAAACAGCUGUGUUGAAUGUGACCUCGGAUAUUCCGGUAUUCAGUGUAAUAUUCCAUGUGUUUAUCCUGGAUACGGAAAGGAUUGCCAGCUUAACUGUGAUUGCGAAGAGAGUGAAUGUGAUAUUGUAAGCGGAUGUAUAAAAACAACAACAAGACAUGGUAUGUUGCACGUAGUUACAUUUUCCAGGAAUAAAAUGCAAACAAGCAAACAGAUAAAAACUGAUUGGUAUAAAACUUCGACAAAGGAAGAUGUGGAUUGGAGUUUUAAUGCUUCUUUACAGAAUGACAAUUCCAAAAGUAUUACAUCACCUACUGAUGUAACAGAUGGUCAAAAAUCAGCAUUUUCAUUGAAGUAUCUUUUACUGAUUCCGAUAAUUGUUUGUAUUUUUGUAAUCUUCCUGUUAGUCAUGCAAAAAUGUUUGAAACGACAAUUAAAGUAUUCUACAGAGAAUCAUGAACAAUAUGCUCAUUAUGCGGAAAUUAUUAUAUAAAUGCACAUUAAUGAAUUAUAUAAUGCGGAAAAAUGUUUUUAUAUUAUGUCGAAAAGUUACCAUUUUGUAAAUAUUAUUAUGUCUCUUAUUAUGAUUAGUGCAAAAUAUCACAAUUUAAUGUUUUCAUACACUAGGGGUGAGGUGUUAAAAUCCUUUAACUUUUUUGCUUCUUUGUUCAGACCAAAUACAUCUUCAAAAAAAAAAAAGAAGCAGGAGGAUUUGUAAAGGAAUUUAUUAUGUGGUUCUGAUGUACAUGACGAAAUAAAUACCAAUGAUAAAAAAGAAAAUGAUUGAAUAAAUAGCAACAAAAAAUGUUUGACCUAUUGGGGGAGAAAAGUUUAAGUGAUAAAACGUUUUCUGAAACAUUUACAAUUCAAAGAAUAAUCCUAAGAUUUACGUCAUAUAUUAUGGGAAAACUGUAGAUUA